rnacentral:rRNA from 1 species
UGGAGGGCAAGUCUGGUGCCAGCAGCCGCGGUAAUUCCAGCUCCAAUAGCGUAUAUUAAAGUUGUUGCAGUUAAAAAGCUCGUAGUUGAAUUUCGGGGUCAGCAGGUUGGUCGUGCCAAUGGUAUGAACUGGCCUUGCUGAUUCCUCCCUCUUGAUGAGCCGUAAUGUCAUUAAUUUGGUGUUGCGGGGAAUCAGGACUGUUACUUUGAAAAAAUUAGAGUGUUUAAAGCAGGCAAGCGCUUGAAUACAUUAGCAUGGAAUAAUGAAAUAGGACGUUUGAUCCUAUUUUGUUGGUUUCUAGGAUUGACGUAAUGAUUAAUAGGGAUAGUUGGGGGCAUUAGUAUUCAAUUGUCAGAGGUGAAAUUCUUGGAUUUAUUGAAGACUAACUACUGCGAAAGCAUUUGCCAAGGAUGUUUUCAUUAAUCAAGAACGAAAGUUAGGGGAUCGAAGACGAUCAGAUACCGUCGUAGUCUUAACCAUAAACUAUGCCGACUAGGGAUCGGAUGAUGUUAAUUUUUUAAUGACUCAUUUGGCACCUUACGGGAAAC